rnacentral:rRNA from 1 species
GUAAAGAUUUUAAGGGCGUACGGUGGAUGCCUUGGCGAUAUCAGCCGAAGAAGGACGCGGUAAGCUGCGAUAAGCUACGGAGAGGUGCAAGCAACCUUUGACCCGUAGAUUUCCGAAUGGGGGAACCCGGCAGUGGUUAUGCACUGUCACCCAUACCUUUGAGUAUGAGGAGGGCACCUGGGGAACUGAAACAUCUAAUUACCCAGAGGAAAAGUAAUCAAACGAGAUUUUCUUAGUAGCGGCGAGCGAACGGGAAAGAGGCCAAACCGGAGCGGGCAACCGCACCGGGGUUGAGGACAGUCAUCAAGUGUAAAUGAGGUAGAAGAAUCGAGCUGGAAAGCUCAGCCGCAGAAGGUGAAAGCCCUGUAAUCGAAACCUUGCAUACAUGGGACUGUAUCCAGAGUACCACGAGACACGUGAAACCUUGUGGGAAGCAGGGGGGACCACCCUCCAAGCCAAAAUACUGAUAUCGACCGAUAGCGCAUAGUACCGUGAGGGAAAGGUGAAAAGAACCCCUGGCGGGGAGUGAAAGAGAACCUGAAACCGUAUGUCUACAAACAGUCGAAGUCUGUAUAUAUAUCAGGACGACGGCGUGCCUAUUGAAGAAUGAACCGACGAGUUACUGUUGCUAGCGAGGUUAAGUGGAAAACACGGAGCCGCAGCGAAAGCGAGUCUGAACAGGGCGUUCAGUUAGUAAUAGUAGACCCGAAACCGUAGUGAUCUAUCCAUGGCCAGGUUGAAGCACAGGUAAAAUUGUGUGGAGGACCGAACUCGUGAGCGUUGAAAAGCUUUGGGAUGAGUUGUGGAUAGGGGUGAAAUGCCAAUCGAACACGGAGAUAGCUGGUUCUCCCCGAAAUAGCUUUAGGGCUAGCCUCGAGGUUGAGAGUAUAGGCGGUAGAGCACUGAUCGGGCUAGGGGCCAUACCGGUUACCGAACCUAGUCAAACUACGAAUGGCUAUACUUAUACUCGGGAGUCAGACAGUGAAUGAUAAGGUCCAUUGUCAAGAGGGAAACAGCCCAGAACACCGACUAAGGUCCCAAAUGUUACACUAAGUGGCGAAGGAUGUGGAAUUUCCAAAACAACCAGGAUGUUGGCUUAGAAGCAGCCACCAUUUAAAGAGUGCGUAAUAGCUCACUGGUCGAGAGACUCUGCGCCGAAAAUGUCCGGGGCUAAAGUGUAAAACCGAAGUCGUGUCAUAUGCAGCAAUGUAUAUGGGUAGGGGAGCGUUCUCAUUGGGUUGAAGCAGUACCGUAAGGAGUUGUGGACUGAUGAGAAGUGAGAAUGUCGGUAUGAGUAGCGAAAAGAAUGGUGAGAAUCCAUUCCACCGAAAGCCUAAGGGUUCCUGAGCAACGAUCGUCGUCUCAGGGUAAGUCGGGACCUAAGCCGAGGCGGAAAAGCGUAGGCGAUGGACAACAGGUUGAAAUUCCUGUACCGGUGUGAAUCGUUUGAUCGAUGGAGUGACACAGUAAGGUAGGUCAGCACGCGAUUGGAAGUGCGUGUUUAAGCAGGUAGGUUGAGCUAUAGGCAAAUCCGUAGCUCUAAAAGCUGAGAUGUGAUGACGAGUUACUAGCAAUAGUAACGAAGUGAUUGAUCCUACACUGUCGAGAAAAGCUUCUAGGUAGAGACACAUCGCCCGUACCAAAACCGACACAGGUAGGCGGGGAGAGAAUCCUAAGGUGCGCGGGAAAACCCUCGUUAAGGAACUCGGCAAAAUGCCUCCGUAACU